rnacentral:rRNA from 1 species
AAGGCGCUGGCCGGCUCUGUCCUCCUACCUUAAGUCGAGCGGAAUCGAUGGAGUGCUUGCACUCCUGAGAUUUAGCGGCGGACGGGUGAGUAACACGUAGGCAACCUGCCCUCAAGACUGGGAUAACUACCGGAAACGGUAGCUAAUACCGGAUAGGAUAUUUGGCUGCAUGGCCGGAUAUGGAAAGGCGGAGCAAUCUGUCACUUGAGGAUGGGCCUGCGGCGCAUUAGCUAGUUGGUGGGGUAAUGGCCUACCAAGGCGACGAUGCGUAGCCGACCUGAGAGGGUGAACGGCCACACUGGGACUGAGACACGGCCCAGACUCCUACGGGAGGCAGCAGUAGGGAAUCUUCCGCAAUGGACGAAAGUCUGACGGAGCAACGCCGCGUGAGUGAUGAAGGUUUUCGGAUCGUAAAGCUCUGUUGCCAGGGAAAGACCGCCAGAGAGAGUAACUGCUCUUUGGGUGACGGUACCUGAGAAGAAAGCCCCGGCUAACUACGUGCCAGCAGCCGCGGUAUUACGUAGGGGGCAAGCGUUGUCCGGAAUUAUUGGGCGUAAAGCGCGCGCAGGCGUUCUUUACGUCUGGUGUUAAAACCUGAGCUUACUUCGGGACCACUGAAACUGGGGAACUUGAGUGGCAAAAGGGAAGUGCAUUCCCGCGGACCGGUUGAAAGCUAGAAUUUGGGAGAACCCAUUGGAAGGCACUCUUGGGCGUUACUGACCUAAGCCCAAAGCUGGGACAACAGAAUAUAUACCGUGUAUCCACCGAACAGAUAAGCGAGGUGAGGGUUUCACCCUUUGGCCAGAUAACAUAAACUCCCUGGGGACCGCCGAAAUUAACCAUGAUUAGGCACCGCAUGGUGGUUUGUUUUAAGACCG